rnacentral:rRNA from 1 species
UACGUAGGGCGCAAGCGUUAUCCGGAAUUAUUGGGCGUAAAGAGCUCGUAGGCGGUUCGGUAAGUCGGAUGUGAAAUCUCCACGCUCAACGUGGAGGGGCCAUUCGAUACUGCCGUGACUCGAGUCCGGUAGGGGAGUGUGGAAUUCCCGGUGUAGCGGUGAAAUGCGCAGAGAUCGGGAGGAACACCCGUGGCGAAGGCGGCGCUCUGGGCCGGUACUGACGCUGAGGAGCGAAAGCGUGGGGAGCGAACAGG